rnacentral:ribozyme from 13 species
UUGAGCAAGGACAAGAGCACCCAAAAGAGCGAAAACCAAAGUCAAUUUCGAAUAACCAAACAUAUUUGUUUGUUUAAAAGUUUUUUAGAAAAAACAAAAACAA